rnacentral:rRNA from 1 species
UUUCCUACGGGAGGCAGCAGUGGGGAAUCUUGCACAAUGGGGGAAACCCUGAUGCAGCGACGCCGUGAGCGAUGAAGCCCUUCGGGGUGUAAAGCUCUUUCGGCAGGGAAGAUGAUGACGGUACCUGCAGAAGCAGCUGCGGCUAACUACGUGCCAGCAGCCGCGGUAAUACGUAGGCAGCAAGCGUUGUUCGGAGUUACUGGGCGUAAAGGGUGUGUAGGCGGUUGUUUAAGUUUGGUGUGAAAUCUCCCGGCUCAACUGGGAGGGUGCGCCGAAUACUGAAUGACUAGAGUGCGGGAGAGGUGAGUGGAAUUCCUGGUGUAGCGGUGAAAUGCGUAGAUAUCAGGAGGAACACCGGUGGUGUAGACGGCUCACUGGACCGUAACUGACGCUGAGACACGAAAGCGUGGGUAGCAAACAGGAUUAGAUACCCUGGUAGUCCACGCCCUAAACGAUGCAUAUUUGGUGUGGGCAGUUCAUUCUGUCCGUGCCGGAGCUAACGCGUUAAAUAUGCCGCCUGGGGAGUACAGUCGCAAGGCUGAAACUCAAAGGAAUUGACGGGGGCCCGCACAAGCGGUGGAGCAUGUGGUUCAAUUCGACGCAACGCGAAGAACCUUACCUGGGCUCGAACGGCUGGUCAAGGCGGUGGAAACAUCGCUACCCCGCAAGGGGGUCCAGUCGAGGUGCUGCAUGGCUGUCGUCAGCUCGUGUCGUGAGAUGUUGGGUUAAGUCCCGCAACGAGCGCAACCCUUGUCCUGUGUUGCCAUGCCCGAAAGGGCGGAACUCGCAGGAGACCGCCAGGGAUAACCUGGAGGAAGGUGGGGAUGACGUCAAGUCCUCAUGGCCUUUAUGUCCAGGGCUACACACGUGCUACAAUGGACGGUACAAAGCGCAGCAAACCCGCGAGGGGGAGCCAAUCGCAAAAAACCGUUCUCAGUUCGGAUUGCAGGCUGCAACUCGCCUGCAUGAAGCUGGAAUCGCUAGUAAUGGCAGAUCAGCACGCUGCCGUGAAUACGUUCCCGGGCCUUGU